rnacentral:lncRNA from 1 species
GAGUUAAUUGUAAUAUUCAAGAGAAUGAGCUAAAUAAUAAUGAAUAUCCAAAAUAAGUAGCAAAGGCAACAAAAUAAGCAAAAUUUGCUGCAAAUUACCUUAAUAAAUAAUUAUGUUUAAACUGAAUAAGUAACAACUAACAACCUUGAUUCCUUGAAUCUUACAAUUCCAUUGAUUUUCCCAGAAAACAAUUUUAAGUAACUGCUUAGUCUCAAUCCCAACCAAAUUUAUAUUCCAACGGUGGCGUAAGCAUAGAUUGGUAUGCUUAUUCAACUUCGACUUUUCAAUCUUCCAACCAAUUCAAGAAAGCUACUUUGAGGAACAAUCACGGUUAUCCAACAAAAGGGGUUUCUAUUUCUCCAAACAAACAAGUUACGACAAUGUUCAUUUUACCAAUGGAUUGCAAAAUUGAUCGUUCAACAAGAAAAUGGAUCAUAUUCGAUCAGAUCAAACCUAAAACGUUAUCAAAACAAACUGAUUGGAUAACACAAAACCAAGUAUGAAGAUCUCUCCAGACAACAACGAAAUUACUAUACAUACUUUGGAAGAAUAUAUAUGAUUAAUUCAUAUAGUACAACCACAGAAGAUAAAGAAAUAAAAAAGCAUACAAACCAAAGCUAAGGAUUCAAACACUGUGACCAAAGUCCACAGAACGUUAUCCACGACAGAUAUAUCGAGCCACCGGAAGCUCGGGCUGCUCCACCGUGAUGUGAAGGAGGAGAA